UAGGGAAUAUUGGUCAAUGGGCGAGAGCCUGAACCAGCCAUGCCGCGUGCAGGAAGACGGCUUUCUGAGUUGUAAACUGCUUUUGUACGGGAAGAAAAAGGCCUUGCGAGGCAAAUUGCCGGUACCGUACGAAUAAGCACCGGCUAACUCCGUGCCAGCAGCCGCGGUAAUACGGAGGGUGCAAGCGUUGUCCGGAUUUAUUGGGUUUAAAGGGUGCGUAGGCGGAUCUUUAAGUCAGUGGUGAAAUCCUGCAGCUUAACUGUAGAACUGCCAUUCAUACUGGAGGUCUUGAGUAUACUAGAGGUAGGCGGAAUUUAUGGUGUAGCGGUGAAAUGCAUAGAUACCAUAAAGAACACCGAUAGCGUAGGCAGCUUACUGGAGUGUAACUGACGCUGAGGCACGAAAGCAUGGGUAGCGAACAGGAUUAGAUACCCCCGUAGUCC
rnacentral:rRNA from 1 species